UACGUAGGGUGCGAGCGUUGUCCGGAAUUAUUGGGCGUAAAGAGCUCGUAGGCGGUUUGUCACGUCUGCUGUGAAAUCCCGAGGCUCAACCUCGGGCCUGCAGUGGGUACGGGCAGACUGGAGUGCGGUAGGGGAGAAUGGAAUUCCUGGUGUAGCGGUGGAAUGCGCAGAUAUCAGGAGGAACACCGAUGGCGAAGGCAGUUCUCUGGGCCGUAACUGGACGCUGAGGAGCGAAAGCGUGGGGAGCGAACAGG
rnacentral:rRNA from 1 species